AACCAGAAGAAAAUAAGAAAAUCUUGAUUCAUUCAACCAUCUAUUUAUAAAAUACCCAACAAAUUAGACUCAAAUCUAUGAAGUCCAACUCCAUGAACUUCCAUUUGCUUCCAAAUCUUUCCAUCAAAAUCAAUUUAAUUUAAGAAAUAAUCAAUAAAUAAAUAAAUAAAAACUCAUUACAUGUUGCACAACUCCACCGGCGAUAUAGCAUCGUUAGGCUACCGACAACAGAAGCGUGACAAACAGAAGGCAAGGCUAAUAUGAGGGCGACGGGACGAACUGCGACGGGCUAGCUACGGCGACGACGACAAGUUGACACAACCACAAUGGCGACGAAGACAAGCUGACUAAUAAGUGAUGGUGAGUGAGAGAGAUGGUGACGGGUGUGUGUGUGUGUGUGUGUGUGUGUGUGUGUGUGUGUGUGUGUGUGUGUGUGUGUGUGUGUGUGUGUGUGUGUGUGUGUGUGUGUGUGUGUGUGUGUGUGUGUGUGUGUGUGUGUGUGUGUGUGUGUGUGUGUGUGUGUGUGUGUGUGUGUGUGUGUGUGUGUGUGUGUGUGUGUGUGUGUGUGUGUGUGUGUGUGUGUGUGUGUGUGUGUGUGUGUGUGUGUGUGUGUGUGUGUGUGUGUGUGUGUGUGUGUGUGUGUGUGUGUGUGUGUGUGUGUGUGUGUGUGUGUGUGUGUGUGUGUGUGUGUGUGUGUGUGUGUGUGUGUGUGUGUGUGUGUGUGUGUGUGUGUGUGUGUGUGUGUGUGUGUGUGUGUGUGUGUGUGUGUGUGUGUGUGUGUGUGUGUGUGUGUGUGUGAAAGAUGAAGUGAAAGUGCAGAGGUGUGUGUGUGUCGGCUGGUGUGAGAAAGAUGGUGUGUUGUGUUGGAGUGUGUGAGAGAUUUUAGGCUUUAGAUUUAUAUUUUACUUAUUUAUGUUUUUUAUUUUAAAAUUUAUUUAGUAUUAAGUGAAAGAACCUAUCGGUUUGUCGGUUUGGUUCGGUUUUGAGCCGAGCCGAAUACAAAUCAACCGGUUCAUAAAUUUUUAAAUCAUUUGAUUUUUAUGCUUAAAACCGAACUGAAAUUUUUCGGUUUGAUUCAGUUCGAGAAAAACCGAACCGUUUGCCCACCCCUAAUUAUUACUCUUACUGCUCGUUUUCUUCGGGGGGCGACAAGAAAAUAUCAACUUUGUAUUAGUAUUAAUUAGAUAUUAGUGCGUGGAGACCACGUGCAUAUGGCCAGAAGAGAGAUGAAAUUAGAUGGAUUUGGCGUAAAGCAAGAGUACUAGCUACUCUACUUUGUGCGUGUCUCAUGUGGGGGCGAGCUGAAAGAGUUACAAUUUUAUAAGAAUCUAUAGAAAAAUGUGAAGUUUUGUAACACAUUUCCUUUAGAGUUGAAAUCUUUUAUAGAGAUCUACGCUUCAAACGUUGAGAGAUAUAAAUAGAAUAAUAAUAUAGUUACAAAUUUUUUUAUAAAUUUAUUUUGUACAAACUGAUAUAUUAUGAUAUAAUUGGUUGAAUUAAAUAUCUCUUGGACCACAUGAUUUAUUUUAUUAUUUUGUAUUUUCAUUCAACUAAUAAAUUAAUGCCAAAUCAGUUUGUAUGAGAUAAAUUUGUAUAAGAGUUUGUAAUUAUAUAAUCACUCAUAUAAAUAUACAUGGGAUAUAAUAUUGUUGUUAUUUUGUAUAUUGAUGAAGGAUUUCUAUUAAAUAUGUUUUCAAUAUAAAUAUUACACUAAUAAUAGAGUUACAAAUAGUUAAUGUGUACAAGUUGAUAUGACAAGAAGAGUUUCAUUGAAAAUUUUGAUAAAAACUAGUUUUUGAUUAUGUGGGCUCGUGAUAGUUUUAUACAAUCAAUCUCUUUAUACCACAUCAGUUUGUAGACACUUAUUUAUACAAAGUUUUGUGGCUCUAUCAUUACUCUAACAAAAUUGAUCAUAUAAACUAAACUAAAGACAACCUUUAACUUUCGAACUGAUUUUUAAGGUAAAUAUCCAUCUAGUCCUUAUAUUUUGAGUUAAAUGCUCGUUUAAUCCUUGCAUUUAAAGAAAUAUCUCAAGAUACCUCUAUUGUUAAAAUGUUACACUCAUAUUAAUAAAAAAAAUGGCAAUUCAUCAAAUUAACCUUAAAAGUAUGUAACAUAAAAAUCUUUACAAAAUUUUAUAUUAUUAUUUUAUUUUUAGGAUUAAUUUGAUAAAUUAAUUUUUGUAAAAUGAUUAUUAGUAAGAUUGUUGUAAGAUAUUAAUUAAUAUUGCUUUAAAUUAGUUGUAUUAGUUAUUUAUAAAUAAUUAUUAGUAAGAUUGUCGUACAAGUACAAAAAAUAUUAGUAAUUCCACACUAAUAUUUAUUAGUUAAUUUGUUAGUAAAUAAUUAUUUAUUAAUUUGAAAAUUAACUUUUUUUAUAGAUAAAUUUAUUAAUGUCAGGAUUGUUGUUGCAUUUAAGGAACAAAGAAAAAAGUAAGAAUGUAAAGUAUUUAACUAUAGGGCCGUUUUGAUGCAUUUUUGUAAAUAUAAGGAUUAAAUAGACACUUAAGUUAAAAUAUAAGGAUUAAAUAGACACUUAAGUCAAAAUAUAAAGACUAAACAAGUAUUUAUCUUAAUUUUUAAAUGUGAUUGAAGUCUGUAAAUUUUUAUACGAUACCAGAACCAAAACAUAUCACAUCCAGUGGCGGAUCUAGAAAAAUAAUUUAUGGGGGCUAAAUUCGAUAAUAGCAAAAUUUAAAAUCUAAAAUUUUGAAUAUAUAAAAUGUUUGUUACUAAAUUUAUAAUUGUGCUCAACGCAUAUUCAUAUUUUGAAAAUAUUAUGCAAUAAACUUAUUAUCAAUAUUAUUAAAUAUAUUAUUUCUUACAUAAACAAUUGAACUAUCAUUCGUCCCAUAUGAUUCCAAAGAUGAUUCUUCACAAACUUCGUUCUUGAAAUGUUUGCUCUACUAUUAUUAUGGAAACUAAAAGAAUUAAUCCUAUAUUUUAGAAUAGAAAAAUGUUUUGGGUGAUGGGCUAUCAUUAUUUUUAGUUAAAGUGUAAACUUUAAUAAUUCUAGUAAAGUUUAAAUUUUAUAGGUUUAUAAAUUUAUAAGGAUCGUUUUAAUAAAUUUAAUGGGAAACUAAUUAGAAACCUUUUUUUUUUUGUUCUUAAAUUUUCUUUUUUUUAAUCCAGGGGGGCUACAACCCCCACUGGUCACAUACUGCAUCCACCACUGACAACAACGAAAUCUCUUACUUUAAUAAAGUAAUGGAUAAGGUUAAAGAUAAAAUAACAUAGAUUCUAAUAUAGCGCAAGACAAAAUUCACUGCAUUAAAGUAUAUAUUUUUGUCUUUUUUUUUUUUUGAUAAGAUAUAUUUUUGUCUUUAAUUUGUCCUUACUCUAAUAAAGUAAAAGAUUCCUUCAUUGUAAAAUUUUUUCUAUACGUAGAUGAGUUGAAUUUGUUGGUUUUGAUUAUAUAGGGAAUUUAGCGUUCAAAUAAUUGGGCUUUGUAUAAGGGCAUUGUUGCUGGGAUUUUGUUGUAAAUGGCUACAAGAGAUCUUUGAGAACAGUUUUAAAGUGUCCAAUUUCGAAAUCUAUGCCAUGGGAGCCUCCAUUAGUUGGAUGUUUUAAACUUAAUAUCGAUGCUACUGUGAAUAUUCAGCAUGGGAUUGUUGGUUAUGCAGCUGUGGCAUGAAAUCACGAAGGAUUAGUUAUGGUGACAGCAGUGGAUAUUGGUGUGUACUCUAAUUAUGUUGAUGCUAUGGCAGAAGUCUUAUACUUUGGUUUACUGCUCAGUAGAAAGAUUGGUUUGUCGCUGCUGAUUAUUGAGUUAGAUUCAUUGUGAGUCAUUCAAUUUGUGUUGGGCCAGUAAAGUACUCGUAUUUAGUUAUUAUACCUUAUUACUGAUUUGCAACAUCUUGAUUUACCAAAGCAUGUUUAAGGUUUUUAAUUUUUUAUAUAUAUUACAUGCUAUUUUCAUGUUUAUGCCUGUCAAGGGCUCAAGGCUACUAGAAAGUGACCAAUCUUGUGUUUCAUUUUUAAUAUUGGUUUUUUUUCCAUAAAAAUAAUAAAUUAUUUAUAGUAUUUGUUGUUAAUUUAAAUAUUAAUGUUGUUUAAUAUAAAUUAUAAAAUAGUAACAGGCAACGUUUAAUAUAAAUUAUGAAAUAGUAACAGGCAACGUAGUAUUUUUAGUAACGCGACGACUGGCCAGAAUUUUUUCCUGCCUAUCGAAAAACGAUUAAAAACAAGAUAAAUUGGGUUUGAUCUUACUUGGAGAUGACAGAAAAAAGGCUAAACUGGCCUAAUUCAAUAGAGCUUUAGCCUGACUUGUAGGCCCAAGGGCCGAGCUUGGGCUUCACAUGGUCAAGCUCGACCUCGGCUAUGCUCGGCCUAUGACUUUAUCAAAAAGCUUGGGCUCAGCAAUUAUAUAAUAAAAAAUUAAAAAAUUAAAAAGGAAAAUGACACAGAGACCCCCAAUGUUUGAAUAAGGGACGCAAAACUCUCUAAUGUUUCAAAAAAGACACUCAGACCCCCAUUUGUUAACAUGAAUUAUAAUUUUAAAGUACAAUUACCAUUAUACCCUUAUAGCAUAUUAAAAUUACGAAUAUAACUUCAUUACACCCAAUUUUUCCAUUUUAUUUUUGUCAAAUUUUCUCUUCAAACUAAAUAAAUUUAAUCCAUUGCUCAAGAAUAAAAAUAAAUUAAAUUGAUUACUAAUAUAAUAAAAAUAACAAUUCUCCAUAUGUCAAUCUAUUGGAUAUGUUAUUUAGUACAAUUAAGAUUUUGUAAUUAUUGUUGUAACCAAUUUUUUUUAUUUUGUAGAUUAUAUAAGUUUAAAUGGAGAAUUGUUAUUUUUAUUAUAUUAGUAAUCAAUUUAAUUUAUUUUUAUUCUUGAGCAAUGGAUUAAAUUUAUUUAGUUUGAAGAGAAAAUUUGACAAAAAUUAAAUGGAAAAUUGGAUAAUGAAGUUAUAUUCGUAAUUUUAUUAAUAAUAUAGGAAUAAAUUGGACAAUGAACAAUUAUUUUUUAAUAUGCUAUAAGGGCAUAAUGGUAAUUGCACUUUAAAAUUAUAAUUUCUGUUAACAAAUGGGGGUCUGAGUGUCUUUUUUGAAACAUUAGGGGACUUUGUGUCCCUUAUUCAAAUGUUGGGGGUCUCUGUGUCCUUUUCCCAAAUUAAAAAUAAAACUUCGUAGAAACCACCCUUAAAAUUCAAGCACCUGCUAAGUUGUAUUAUUUGUAACUUACAGCUCACUGAAAACUCUCAUAACCCUCUAAUUAUUUAACAACUAAUAAUUGAGCUAUAUAAAAAAAAAAACUAUUUUUGGGUUGAUAUAAAUUAUAGAUGACGUAACUUAACAAGAACCAAUUAAACUACAUGCUUUAAAAAAAAAUAAAUCAUAUAAAAACAUAAAGUUACAAAAUGUCCAAAAGGAAUAUGCAUAUCCCUAUAUUAUGGCUUCACUUAUUCGAUUUGACUAUAUUUUUCUGGAGGUAAUUAAAAUAUUCAUUAUAUAUGGUUGAAAAUAUAAUUUUUUUUAUUUUCUAAGGAGCUCUAUGGAAUCAAAUUCGGAUUUCUCUUCUUACUGAUAUUCAAGAUUUUGUCAACAAAGGUCACAACUAUGAGGAAUUCUCCACUAGGCCAAAAGUUCUAAAUUUACUGGCAUCAAUGCAUCGAGAUCUUACUAACAAGCUUCAUUUUAUUAGAAAGCUCUUUGAUUCAAGAAUUUAAUGAAUUUUACACUGUUUGAUUUGGAGUUUGCUACAUUAAGUUAUGAUUAAAUGAGUGUUGACUAUAUAAAUUUGCGGAUAAAAUAGACCUUGAAGUUAAAUUGUGUUUUGCUUUGUUCUCUCCCACCUCAUGACAGCUAAGAUAUUUAAUUCAAGUUUAAUUUGAAUUCAAAUUGACAGGGAUGAUGAUUUUGAGAAUGUAACUUUGAAGAGUACUCUUGUUAAAGCAUCUUCAUAUAACUCUGUAUCUCUUUGGUAGAUUCUUUAAAAUGGUGAGUUGAGAAGUCUUGUAUCUCUUGUAUGAUAUCAUUGGGUGGUGAAUAUUUGUAUUCCUUUGUAAUCCUCUUAAUUGGUGAGAUUUGGUGAGUUAAAAAACCAUGUAUCUCUUAUAGAAUAUCAAUAGGUGGUAAAUUAAUUUUCUACGUCCUAUUGUAAUCCUUUAGAAUUUGUGAGCUUUUUUUACUUGCCUUGUCUCUGUGUAUUUGUUUUGCAUAAUAAUAAGAGUUUAGUUUAUUAUGAGGCAGGUGUCACACUCCCAACAAACCUUACUCUUCUUAUUCAUCUCCUCCCACCUACCACCCAAUAGUCAGCAGCCACCAAACCAACAUGUCGGCACCUUCAUUUCUGAAAUCGUUCACCACAAUCAUUUCACAGCGACCCAUCUUGAACACGAAAAGUAAAUAAAACAUCACCACCAUUCAUCAAAGAAGGGGCUUCUUUUUCUUUUAUGUAUGUAUGUGUGUGUGUAUAUAUAUAUAUUUAAAAAAAUAAUUGUUGAACUAGUAAAAAUCUUGAGUCCAGCAUAGCUCAAUAAGCGUUAGACUUUUUAAAAGGAAUUGUGAUAUUUGACCUCCUCAAUACAUCUCACCAAUUACCACUAAUCAUUUUUAUGCUAAUACCUACUUUAUCCUUAUAUGAAAUGACUUAUAAGGAUAAAUAAUUUUUAAGUGGACCUGCAUGACAAUUUUUAUUAGGGUGGGGCUAUUUAAACCCACUAAAUUCCUUUCUACACCCAAAUUUAAGAAAUGAAUUUGUUGUUAAAAAUUAAAAAUUUGAAGAUCUCAAAAUUAUCCUUCACUUAUCUCUUUCUCUCUCUACUUUAGAAUUGCAUAUUCUCUCUUCUCUCAUAUUUUGUAAACUAAACACUCAAUUAUACUCUCUUUUAAAUUCAUAUUUUUAGCCUUUCUUAGUAGAUCAUGAUCCCUAUUCAUGUUUUCUAUAUAUAAGAUUUUUUUUAUAUUUAUGAACUUUUGUGUUUGGCAAAAAUUAAUUUCUUGAUAUUUAUUAACUUUCAUGACUAAUAAAAAUUUAUUGAUGUUCAAUUUUAAAUAGUAGAUUUUGUUUCUCUUAGUUUGUAAUAUCAAUAAUUUGCAACUAAGAGAAUAUAUAUGAAUGAGUUUAUGAGAAUUUAUGAAAUUGAGAUAAGAAGGAGAAGAAAGGUUAAUUAAGUAAUUUUAUUAAAAAUUAUUUUCAUAAUUUUAUUAAAAAUUAUUUAGAUAAUAAAAUUCUUAAUUAGAAUGAGAGUGUAAAGAGGAAAUUGGUGGGUUUAAAUAGCCUCAUCCUUUUUAUUAAUGUCUAAUUUGGCUAAUCCAAUUUCUUAAACCCCAAUUUCUUUUAAUUUUUUAAACUAUUAUCUCUUCUUAAAUAUUAUAUACUGUACUUUUGUAACUAUCAAAAAGAUUAAUUUGCAAUACUCGAACAAGAUAAUGGACAAGUAUCAAAUCUUUUCUAUGGUUAUGACAACAGUGGAUGAAACCUUUAAAAAGAAAGAGAAAGAUUAUAGUGAUUAUGAAUUUUUUUUCUUUUUAAAAUAGAUUUAAUAAGUUUUACAUAACGGGUGCUUGUAAAAAAGAUAAAAAAGUAUAAUAAGGGUAAAUUUGAAAUUAGAUGAGAUAUGUUGAGAAAUAAAGAUCAGUUUACUUUAAUGGGUUAAUUAAAAAAUGAGGGUUGAUGAGAUAUAAUGAGGCGUUAAAUAUCACCACUCUUCAAGAGCCUAGGCUUUGUGUUUUUGUUAGAACAACAAGUGUCCAUAAUUUUAGUUAGGCCCUGUCAGCCUUUGUUCUAUUUAGUAUUUUUGGAAAAAAAAAUGAAAAACUAUUACCUUUUAGUUUAAUAUUUUUUAAUGAUCACCUUAAACAAAAAAAGAAGAAGAAGAAAUGGUGUAUAAUGAGGCAUCUUCAUAAUUUUAAGAAAAGAGUGAUAUCAAAAUAAAUGGAAAUAGACACGUGAGAGGGAUGAUACAAUAUUAUAAUAUCAUAGUUGGAAAAGGACAACUACACUUUUAAAGUUUAAGAAAAUAAUUACGCAGAUUCCCAAGUUUUCAAGAAACGAUACCGAGAUUUCCUUUUGACCAUAAUAAUUUAUAGAUCUAUCAAUCCAAAAAAACUGACUCCAAUGUAUUAUAAUAAAUAGAAGUACGCCAUUAAAAUAUAUCAUAAUGUAUACAUUUUAAAAUAGCUUAAAUAUGUUUUCAUAAUCCGUAGUCCAUUAGAAAUAUUUUAUUAUAUUAAAUCAAAUAGAAACAUAAUAUUAAAUAAAUGAUUAAUUUUCUAGAUAGUCUAAAUUAUUUAUAUUUUGCGUUUAUUUAUUAAAAAAAUUUAAAGUCAAUUUUUUAAUUGCUAUGUUCAAAGGGUAUAAUAAUAAUAAUAAUAAUAAUAAUAAUAAUAAUAAUAAUAAUAAUAAUAAUAAUAAUAAAAGUUUCUUUAUAUUCCUGAAUCAACUUGAAGGUCCUCGUAACCAUCUCCCUAAAUCUCAAUAGAGUAGCUGUUUUUUCCCUUUAGGAUGAAUAAAUAAGAAUGGACACGUGAGAGCGAUGAUACAAUGUAAUAUGAGUAAUAAUAUACCUACAAACUUUUGUAUAAAUUUUUUUUUGUACAAACUGAUGUGUCAUGAUUUAAUUAGUUGGAUUAGAUAUCUCUUGCUUCACAUGAUUUGUUUUUAUUAUUUUGUAUUUUUAUUCAACCAAUAAAUUAAUGUCAAAUUAGUUUGUACAAAAUAAAUUUGUAUUAGAAUUUGUGGCUGUAUCAUCGCUCAUAUAAUAUUAUGGCUAACAUAAUUCAUUAGAAAAAAAGCGAUGAUAAUCAAUAAAUAUACAAAAAAAGGACACGUGAGAGAGAUGAUUCAAUGUAAUAUUAUGGCUAACGUAAUUUAUUUGAAAUUGUUCAUUAUAUAUAUGUUAUUUAUAUAGCAUCAGACCUUAUAAGCCUGCUAUAUAUCUCAAAAUAUCAAUUGCAAAUCUUCAUGGAAAGAUCUGCUACAAAACAUAAUGUUAGUUUGACUUAACUCAUAUUUUCAUAGAUUUAUUUAGAAAAAAAGCCUACAACUCAGUUUAUCACUAAGGACCAUUAAAUAUUUAAAUACAAUAGUGAAUAAUAUUACUUUUAACAUCCAUCAAGCACACACCCCUUUAUUAUAAAUUGUUAUACCUUAAACCCUAUAAUUAAUAGAAGUUGUUCAUUAAUAGGGAUGAAAAUGGGUACCACCCGCAACAAUUUUGUUAUUAAUCAAAUAUGCACCUACAAAAAGUUUAAGUUGCUAAAUCCUCUAGCAACUUACUGUAGGUUUUUACUUUUUUUUUUUUAAAAAAAAAAAGCCUACCAUAUGGGGAUUUUUACAAUUACCAAACUCACUCGCAAUUCACAAUAAAUUUUACCUAUAAACUGCAGCGGCGGUAGUAGCAAUAAAUUUAUUUCAAAUCAGCAGGUUUUGCCUAACUCAUAGGCUCGUAGCGGUAAUAGCAACCUAUUUUUUUCAAAUCAUAACACCACGUCUAGGACCAUAAUCCCGCAUCCAAAAAAUUGUGUUUAUCUAAACAUUUUCAUAAAAAUAUAUUUUUUCUAUUGCAUACAAAUAUACAAUUAACUCUACACUAAAGGUUAUGCUUGAGCUUUUAACAUAAUAAUAAUAAUAAUAAUAAUAAUAAUAAUAAUAAUAAUAAUAAUAAUAAUAAUAAAAGUCUUAAUGUCCUUGAUGUGAAAGCUUGAAGGUCUUCUUAACCAUUUUUCAAAUCUUAAGGAAAUAGCUGUUUUUUCCCUCGAGAAUGAAUAAACAAAAACAGACACGUGAGAGUGAUAAUACAAUAUUAAUAUUAUCACUGACAUAAUUUAUUAGCAAAGCGUUGAUAAUGAGUAAAUAAAAAUGGGACAUGUGAGAGAGAUGACUCAAUAUAAUAUUAUGGCUAACGUAAUUUAUUCGAAAAGAGUUGACAAUAAAUAAAUAACUGACGCGUGAGAGGGGUGAUGAAAUAUAAUACUAUGGCUAACAUAAUUUAUUAGAAAUUGUUCACCAUAUAUACGUUAUUAUGAGCCAGCUAUAUAUCUCAACUUAUCAAUCGCAAAUCUUCAUAAAAGAUAUUCUACGAAACAUAAUGCUUGUUUGACUUAAACACUCAUAUUUUGAUAAAUUUUUUAAUUAGGAAAAGAGUCCAUAACUCAAUUCAUCAGUAAGGACCAUUAAAUACAACUGUGAAUAGUACUACUUUUAACAUCAACAUCAAACUAGCACACACCCCUUUAAAAUAAAUUAUUAUACCUUAACCCCCAUAAUUUAUUAGAAGUUGUUCAUUAAUUAGGAUGUCAAUGGGUUACCGCUACAGCUGAUUUAUUAUUACUAAAUCCGUACUUUAAAAAAUUUAAUACAAAAUCCUCCCACAACAUGCUGCGGAAUCUUUUUUUUUUUUAAAAAAAAUUUCCCACUGCAAGUUUUAACAAUUAUUAAACCAUAGCGGAUUUUGCUUGUAAUGGCAACGGUGGUAGUAGCAACAAAUUUAUUUCAAAUUAGUGUGUUUUGCAUGUAACUUAUAGGCUCGCAGCAAUGGCAGCAGCAGCAUAUUUAUUUCACAUCAUAAUACUACAUCCAAGAUCAUAAUACCACAUCCAAAAAAUUAGAAUUAUAUAAACAUUUCUAUAAAAAUAUAUAUUUACUAUUGCAUGCAAAUGUACAAUUAACUCUACACUAAAAGUUAUGCUUGAGCGUUUGAUUAGAUUAGUAGCCAUGUUUACUUAGAUUUUUAGCCAAAACUAACAAAUUUAAAAUAGACCAAUUUCAACUAAUAUGGUAGUCUUCUCAUUCAGUGGUGGAUCUAGAAAAGUAAUUUACCGGGGAUAAAUUAAAUAAUAGCAAAAUGUGAAAACUGAAACUUGAAUAUAUAAAAUUUUUGGUAAUACAUUUACAAUUGUUCUCUACAAGGUUUGAUAAUUUGAAAGUGUGUGCAAUAGACUCAUUAUCAAUACUAUUAAAUACAUCUUUUUCUACAUAAACGAUCAAAUUAUCAUUCAUACAUUCAUCUCUCAUUCGAUUCCGAAGUUCAUUCUUCACAAAUUUUAUUGUUGGAAAUGUUCUCUCUACUGUGGCUAUAGAAACUAGAAGAACUAAUGCUAAUUUCACCAACAAAUAUACUAACGAAUACAUCUUAUCUUUUUUGUCUCAAACAUUCUUUUAGCAAGGUCACUGAUUCCUUUCAAUCCUGCAAACUCAGUACUAUAACGCAUAUCCAUUAUGUAAGUUUGAAGUUAAGUUUUAAGUUGCAUAAGCUCUGUUGGUGAAAAAUCCUUUGGAUAAAAUUGAGCAAGACGUACUAAGUUGUCCUUAUCAAAAGUAGAAAAUGAGUCAUUUGACUUAAACAUGCCAAACAAAGAAGCAAUUUCAUAUUCACCCCCAUUGAAAUGAUUAUUUAGCUCUUAAGGUUCCAAAUCUAAAACAACAAAAAAUAGUUCAACUCGAAAAUAAUACAUGUUUGAGAUCUCCCGAACCUUGUGUCAUGAUCAACCUUGGUAAAAACACAUCAUUCAUGUUAGGGACAUCAAUUUCAUGCUUCAAACAAAAAAAGAAACCUCACAAAGCACAGAAUCUCAUCCAUCAUCUCUCAUCAUUUGCAAGUUUUUCUUGCAUAUUUCAACCAAUUUUAUGGCAUUUAGAAUAUCGUCAUCCUUUCUUUGAAGUGGUUGUGAUAACUUAUUUGAAAGUGUAAGUAUAUCUCUCAUCAAAUAUAAACUAAGCAAAAAAAUCAAAAGAUUACAUAAGCUCUACCAAAUAAUUUGCUUGAAAUCUCUGUUCACUAGAGUUUUACUUAUCUUUUGCAACUAUCUCAGCUCAGGCACACUAAUUAUAUGUGGAAACAAACAGAUUAUAUGAAGUAAUGUACCAUAAUGUGAGCCCCAACAUGUAUCACCAAAAUGUUUCAAUGCUGUCUCUGGAUUUUGGCCUUGCCCACUCGAUAAGUCAUCAUUUUCAAGUACUUCAACAAUUGAAAGUAAUUGCUUCUCUCAAAGAAUAUCUCGACGUUUACAUGAAGCCCCAACAACAUUGAUAACAUUAGCAAUUACAUUGAAGAAAGAAUUAAUUUGAUCGUGUUUCUUUGCCACAGCCACAAUAGCUAAUUGUAAUUAAUGGACAAAACAAUGUAUAUAAUAAGCACACUCAUUCUUAUUCAUAAUAAGUGUGCUAAGACCAUUGAACUCGCCUUGUAUGUUGCUAGCCCCAUCAUAACCUUGCUUGCGCAACCUAGAUAUACUCAAUCCAUACUUGGAAAAUAACUGAUCAAGAGCUUCCUUGAGCGAGAUAGCAGUAGUACAAGUAACGUGCUUAAAACCUAUAAAACGCUCAAAGACAUAUCCAUUCUUGUCUGCAUAUCGCAAUGCAACAACCAUCUACUCCUUCGUAGAUGCAUCACGGGAUUCAUCAAUCAAAAUAGAAAAUAAUGCCUCACUCACAUCUCUAAUAAUAACAUUGGUAGUUUCAAUAGAACAAACCCUCACAAGGUCUUUUUGAAUUGAAGGUGCAAUCAACAUGUUGUUUCUAGGAGCGUUCUUCAAAGUAACUCUUUUGAUAUCAUCAUUGUGAUCGGCAAGAAAUCUUAAAGUUAGAAUAUAAUUUCCUUGGUUACUUGAAUUAUCAUAUUCAUUAUGACCACAAAAUGUAAGCCCUUAUUCUAAAAGAAGCCUAACAACAUCAAUGGAUGCAAACUGGCGAGUUCGAUAAUCUUUCCAAUCUUAAUCAGAAUGUUUGUUGAAAAAUGUUCGAACAUGCUGCUUUUGUUUCAUUAAAUCCUCACAAUAGCCCAUGGCCUUGUUGUGAGCACUAUUAGGACCUCCAAUAUGCUCUUGUAAUCUUUCUGGUUUCUUCCAAUUUGAGAACUCAUUUUUUGUAAAUGUCUCACCAUUUGCUUGCUCACCAAUUUCUAGUGUGAAAAGAUAACAAGAUAAACAAUAUCCAUCAUUCUUUGAUAUACUAUAUUCUAGCUAAUUUUUGUAUAUAUUGAACCGAGCAGGACUCAAUUGUCGUUGUUGUUGCCUAAAUUUAGACUUAUAAAAAAUUGUGGAAUUUAGGUUGGCAAGGACCCUUUAUGAAUAUGCUCAACGAACUUCAUGUCGAAUAUUUCAAUUGUAAAAAAAAAUUAAGGGUCGUUGUCUAGGAUCAUAAGGAAGUUCUGACAAUUCUAAGUCGAACUUAUUUCGUUUUUCUAGACCAUUUUCAACUUUCUCUGGAAAUGGCAGCAUCACAGGUUUUCUUUUAAAAUACUUUUCCAUAUCUAUUUCAAAAUUAUAUAUGUGAGUACUUAUAUAAAAAUAAAUUAAUUACAAUUAAAAAAAUUAAUUUACAAAUAGCUAUAAACAAAAUCACCGAAAAAAAACUAUAAGGACUAGAAUUAGUCACUUGAGCAAUUACAAUUUGUAUAGAGAUAUAUUGACAUUCUGACAAUUCUAAGUCAAACUUAUUUCGUUUUUCUAGACACUUUCAUCUUUCUCUAGAAAUGGCAGCAUCACAGGUUUUCUUUUAAAAUAUUUUUCCAUAUUUGUUUCAAAAUUAUAUAUGUCAGUACUUAUAUAAAAUAAAUUAAUUACAAUUAAAAAAAGAUUGAUUUACAAAUAGCUAUAACACAAAAUCACUGAAAAAAAAAUAAGGACUAGAAUUAGUCACUUGAACAAUUACAAUUUUUAUAGAGAUAUGUUGACAUGUGAAAAUGAAUAAAAUACUAAAUUAUUAACUUAAUUUGAAAAAAAUAAGAAGAGGACAUGUUUACCUGAUGCAAAAUUGAUGUAGAGGCAAACUCAUUUGCCAGUCCCACGUCCCAAUCACUCAACCCCACAACAAUUAAAUAAAUCACACCCUCAUUCUCCUUUUGCUUUCUUCACUGGGAUUUUGAGAAUAAAGAACGAACUACUUGGAACUUGCUCUUUUUGUUCAAGGUAAUCCCUAAUUACAAGUGUGGCACUCAUGAUUCAGUAAUUAAGAUUAUAAAUAUUUCGAGCAGUAGGCUUUUUUUAAAGUCAAAUUAUGACUUUACAAUUAUUAAAAUAAUAGUUUGAUUUUUAAAGAAUGGGACUAUCUAAUAACUUGACAUGGGCUAUUCAGAAAUUUAUUAAUUUUGCUUUUAAACAAAAAAGUGUAAUUUUUUUUCCAAUGGGGACUUGAGCCUAGGGAUGACAAAAUCCUGGGGCUCCACCCCAAAUGGGGGUGAAUUUUGAAUAAUUUUAGGGGAAUGGGGUGAGGAAUGGGGGAAAUAAUCCCCAAAUUCUUAAUGGGGUGGGGUAUGGUUUUGUGCUCCCCACCCCAAUCCCUAUUAUAUAUAAAUAUUUUUUCUAAUUUUCAUUUAAUAAUUUUUAUUUUAUCAAUUAAAAUGUUAGUUAAUAAUUUUUUUUUACUUGAUAUAAAUGAGCUACAACUGAAAGAAAACAUUAAAAUAUAAUUUUUAUUCAAUCGUAAAAUAUUGUUAUGUUUUCUUUUCUCUCUUAACAUACUGCUCUUUUCAAAUAUUUUUCAAUUUUAAUAUCAUUUUAAGAUAUUGUUUCAAACAUUUGGAGAUUUUUUUAAAUAAUAUAAAUAUUUUAUAAUAUGGUAAUGAUUUUAUUUAUAUCUUUAAUUUUUAAUUUAUUGAAAUAAUGUAUCUGCAUCUACUAUAAAAUAAAUAAAUAAAUGGGGAAUGAGGUGGGGAUGGGGAAAUCACUCCCCACGUAGGGAUUCCCCAUCCUCACCCCACUAAAUUUAUUGGGGAGUAGAGGUGAAAUUUUUAAUGGGGUGGGGAAUGAGGUCAGCCUCCCCACCCCAUUGUCAUCCCUACUUGAGCCCAUGGUAGUCCUACAAUGAAUCCACCUCUGUUCUCAUUGAAAGUUACAAAAGUGUCUUUAAAAAAUAAACACAUACAUGUUGUGAAGAGAACGAUGUGAAUCAAGUUAGCGACAUAACUUACGUAUUUUUAUAAUUAAAUUCUUUAAUAUAAUUUUAAAAUUAAAAUUUAUAAAAAUAAUUAAAAUAAAAUUGCGGGUUGGCGGAUAACCAUGUAGGUAUCCACUGGAUUUUUUGUUAGUGCCAAAAUACUCAUAGCAGACAAUUGAUGGAUGAAUUUGGACAAAUUUACGAGUUUGUGGGUACUAUUGCCAUCCAUGUACGUUGACAUAUUAUAUAUAUAGCCUCAAAUCUUAUAAGCCAGCUAUAUCUUCAUAAAUGACCAAAUUGUAAACAUAAUCAUAUACAAUUAUAUAACAUAAACUCAUCAAUUGCAAAUCUUCAUAAAAGAUAUACUACGAAACACAUGCUAGUUUGACAAAAUUUAGUUCACAAGCCAAGUUGUCUUUUUUAUUUUUUAAUAAUAAUGAAGGGCAACAAAGUAAUUUUAUGUUUCACUUUAUUCGUGCCAGUAACAACGUAACAUUGUCAAUAUAGCAUUUCUCUUGCAUAUUGAUAAUAAAUUGGUAAAACAGUACUACUGGUGUAGUCUUGUAGAUAACCCACAUGAAUCGAUAAGUCAAACGAAAUUAUCACUAUUAUUAUUUUGAAACAAAGAAAAUAAUUUCAUUACAACCAAAUUGCUGAACAGAACAAACACUUCGUCCAUAGCAGAUCUUAGAAUCAAAUUACCGUAACCAAUUACAGCAAGGUUAAACAAACGGCACAGAGGAAAUAUCAUGCGACCAAGGUUAAACAAACGGCACCUCCACUCCUGUCAACUUGCAAUAAAACAAAUUGAAGCUCCAUUCAUGAUAAACCUCAGUUUCUUUCAACAAAUCCUCCACCAUUAAAGUUGGCUCUACCAAUUGGUACACUAAAAGAUCGAUCUGUUGCAAUGACCGAUCUGCAGUUCGAGACUUUUCAAAUCCGAAGAACUAUAAAUUUCAAAUCUAAAAGUAAAGCUUUUUUUAACUGAUAAAACAACAAAAAGGCCAGACAUGGAUACACAAUAUUGUUCAUUUUCACAACAUGAACUUAUAUAAGUUCAUCUAUUUGCACUAAAGGUAGCCUCUUUCUUUGCAGCAUUUGAUUGCCCCAUCAAACAUCUCAUCGAUCCCAUACUUAUAUGUAAAACCAGUAUCCAGGAGUUUCUUUGACGAUAACGCUGAUAAUUUAUAACCUUCAAUCUCCGAUAAAGAACUGCAAAAUUCCUCCAUUAUACUAAAACAUGAUAAUUAUAAAGAAAAUGGAAAAUUAAGGGUAGAACUUAAUUGGACUUACUCCACAUUUGGUAUUGGAUAUUCAGGGUGUUUUGCAGAAAGAAAUUCAGCCAUCUCUUGAAUAGUUAAUUUGGCUGAAGAGCAAAUGUAUCUCCCUUUUGCAUCAGGAUAUUCAAGUAAAAAAAUAUGCGCCCUUGCUACAUCAUCUAUGUGCACCAUUGAUAUGUUGAGAAGAAUGCUAUAUUCCUCUCGAUUGCCUGAUAAGCAGAGAUGUUUAC
rnacentral:lncRNA from 1 species